rnacentral:rRNA from 1 species
UACAGAGGUCUCAAGCGUUGUUCGGAAUUACUGGGCGUAAAGCGUGCGCAGGCGGUUUUGUAAGUCUGACGUGAAAUCCCCGGGCUCAACCUGGGAAUGGCGUUGGAGACUGCAAGGCUGGAAUCUGGCAGAGGGGGGUAGAAUUCCACGUGUGGCAGUGAAAUGCGUAGAGAUGUGGAGGAACACCGAUGGCGAAGGCAGCCCCCUGGGUCAAGAUUGACGCUCAUGCACGAAAGCGUGGGGAGCAAACAGG